rnacentral:misc_RNA from 1 species
GCAAACUUGGUCAUUUAGAGGAAGUAAAAGUCGUAACAAGGUUUCCGUAGGUGAACCUUCGGAAGGAUCAUUACUGUUGAAACGUCUCGGCCAGUCGUGUCCCGCAUUGGGGCCUUCUGCGCCAGCGUUUAGCACCCUUGAUUUUGAGCACCUUUUGUUUCCUCGGCGGGUUCGCCCGCCAGCGAGGACCCCCAUGAACUCUUUGUAAUAGCAAUUUUUGUCUGAAAUACAAACAAUAAUCAAAACUUUCAACAAUGGAUCUCUUGGUUCUGGCAUCGAUGAAGAACGCAGC